GACGAACGCUGGCGGCGUGCUUAACACAUGCAAGUCGAACGGAAAGGCCCUGCUUGCAGGGUGCUCGAGUGGCGAACGGGUGAGUAACACGUGGGUGAUCUGCCCCUUACUUUGGGAUAAGCCUGGGAAACUGGGUCUAAUACUGGAUAGGACCAUGCUGUAGGUGGUGUGGUGGAAAGAUUAGUUUCGGUAAGGGAUGAGCUCGCGGCCUAUCAGCUUGUUGGUGGGGUAAUGGCCUACCAAGGCGUCGACGGGUAGCCGGCCUGAGAGGGUGGACGGCCACAUUGGGACUGUGAUACGGCCCAGCCUCCUACGGGAGGCAGCAGUGGGGCAUAUUGCACAAUGGGCGCAAGCCUGAUGCAGCGACGCCGCGUGGGGGAUGACGGCCUUCGGGUUGUAAACUCCUUUCAGCCAUGACGAAGCCCUUGUGGUGACGGUAGUGGUAGAAGAAGCACCGGCUAACUACGUG
rnacentral:rRNA from 1 species